CCUACGGGAGGCAGCAGUGAGGAAUAUUGGACAAUGGGCGCAAGCCUGAUCCAGCCAUGCCGCGUGCAGGAAGAAGCAUCUAUGGUGUGUAAACUGCUUUUGUACAGGAAGAAACACUCCCUCGUGAGGGAGCUUGACGGUACUGUAAGAAUAAGGACCGGCUAACUCCGUGCCAGCAGCCGCGGUAAUACGGAGGGUCCGAGCGUUAUCCGGAAUCAUUGGGUUUAAAGGGUCCGUAGGCGGUUUAAUAAGUCAGUGGUGAAAUCUGGUCGCUCAACGAUCAAACGGCCAUUGAUACUGUUAGACUUGAAUUAUAAGGAAGUAACUAGAAUAUGUAGUGUAGCGGUGAAAUGCUUAGAUAUUACAUGGAAUACCAAUUGCGAAGGCAGGUUACUACUUAUGGAUUGACGCUGAUGGACGAAAGCGUGGGGAGCGAACAGGAUUAGAUACCCUGGUAGUCCACGCCGUAAACGAUGGAUACUAGCUGUUCGGAGCAAUCUGAGUGGCUAAGCGAAAGUGAUAAGUAUCCCACCUGGGGAGUACGUUCGCAAGAAUGAAACUUAAAUGAAUUGACGG
rnacentral:rRNA from 1 species